GAUGAACGCUGGCGGCGUGCCUAAUACAUGCAAGUCGAGCGAACAGACGAGGAGCUUGCUCCUCUGACGUUAGCGGCGGACGGGUGAGUAACACGUGGAUAACCUACCUAUAAGACUGGGAUAACUUCGGGAAACCGGAGCUAAUACCGGAUAAUAUAUUGAACCGCAUGGUUCAAUAGUGAAAGACGGUUUUGCUGUCACUUAUAGAUGGAUCCGCGCCGCAUUAGCUAGCUGGUAAGGUAACGGCUUACCAAGGCAACGAUGCGUAGCCGACCUGAGAGGGUGAUCGGCCACACUGGAACUGAGACACGGUCCAGACUCCUACGGGAGGCAGCAGUAGGGAAUCUUCCGCAAUGGGCGAAAGCUUGACGGAGCAACGCCGCGUGAGUGAUGAAGGUCUUCGGAUCGUAAAACUCUGUUAUUAGGGAAGAACAAAUGUGUAAGUAACUAUGCACGUCUUGACGGUACCUAAUCAGAGAGCCACGGCUAACUACGUG
rnacentral:rRNA from 1 species